rnacentral:rRNA from 1 species
AAUAGAUACCCGGGUAGUCCACGCCCUAAACGAUGCUCACUAGGUGUUGGGGAAGCGAUUCCUUGGUACCGUAGCUAACGCGUGAAGUGAGCCGCCUGAGGAGUACGGCCGCAAGGUUAAAACUCAAAGGAAUUGACGGGGACCCGCACAAGCGGUGGAUGAUGUGGAUUAAUUCGAUGCAACGCGAACAACCUUACCUACCCUUGACAUGUCCGGAAGCCUGCUGAAAGGCGGGGGUGCUCGAAAGAGAACCGGAACACAGGUGCUGCAUGGCUGUCGUCAGCUCGUGUCGUGAGAUGUUGGGUUAAGUCCCGCAACGAGCGCAACCCUUGUCCCUAGUUGCUACGCAAGGGCACUCUAGGGAGACUGCCGGUGACAAACCGGAGGAAGGUGGGGAUGACGUCAAGUCCUCAUGGCCCUUAUGGGUAGGGCUUCACACGUCAUACAAUGGACGGUACAGAGGGUUGCCAACCCGGCGAGGGGGAGCCAAUCCCAGAAAGCCGUUCGUAGUCCGGAUCGCAGUCUGCAACUCGACUGCGUG